rnacentral:lncRNA from 1 species
GGCCUGAGCUUUCCUGCUAUCAGUUGAUUGGAAAUUCCACCUAAAUGUGUCCUUGCCUUAUCCUGUUCUGAUGUACGUGUCUUCUGAUCAAGGGACACCAGGAGACAGACAGCAGGUGAUGGGCAUGCCAAAGAGAAAAAGAAGUCUUCACACAACCAGUGACGCAGGUCUGUCAUCGAUUUCUGACCUCUCAGAUAUAAGAAGAAAUAUCUUGAGGACUUCUGGGAAGGAUUUCACCUCUAAUAAAAAAAGACAAGGACUUUUUUGCCCUUUUCCUCUACCUUCCUACUCUGGAAACUUUCAAAUAAGUAUGGGCUAUCUAGAGCUGCAGCAGCUAUUUACAACUAUGAGGAGACAAGCCAGGUGAUGAAAUUCAAUACCCUUAAGGAAGGCAGAG